GUGUCAGCCGCCGCGGUAAUACGUAGGGGGCGAGCGUUGUCCGGAUUUACUGGGCGUAAAGAGCGCGUAGGCGGCGGAGUUUGUCGCGGGUGAAAUCUCCUUGCUUAACGAGGAAAAGUCUCGCGAAACGGCUCUGCUACGAGGGCGGUAGAGGAAGGUGGAAUUCCGGGUGUAGUGGUGAAAUGCGUAGAGAUCCGGAGGAACACCGGUGGCGAAGGCGGCCUUCUGGGCCGGCCCUGACGCUGAGGCGCGAAAGCGUGGGGAGCGAACUGAAUUAGAUACUCAGGUAGUCCACGCCCUAAACGAUGGACACUAGGUGUGGGGGGUAUCGACCCCUCCCGUGCCGCAGCUAACGCAGUAAGUGUCCCGCCUGGGGAGUACGGCCGCAAGGCUAAA
rnacentral:rRNA from 1 species